GACGAACCAUGCAAACGUUAUUCGGAAUUACUGGGCUUAAAGCGUGCGUAGGCGGCUCAGAAAGUUGGGUGUGAAAUCCCUCGGCCUAACCGAGGAAUUGCGCCCAAAACUACUGGGCUUGAGGGAGUUAGAGGUGAGCGGAACUCACGGUGGAGCGGUGAAAUGCGUUGAUAUCGUGAGGAACACCGGAGGCGAAAGCGGCUCACUGGGGCUUUUCUGACGCUGAGGCACGAAAGCUAGGGGAGCAAACGGG
rnacentral:rRNA from 1 species